UAGGGAAUCUUCCGCAAUGGGCGAAAGCCUGACGGAGCAACGCCGCGUGAGUGAUGAAGGUCUUCGGAUCGUAAAACUCUGUUAUUAGGGAAGAAUAAAUGUGUAAGUAACUAUGCACGUCUUGACGGUACCUAAUCAGAAAGCCACGGCUAACUACGUGCCAGCAGCCGCGGUAAUACGUAGGUGGCAAGCGUUAUCCGGAAUUAUUGGGCGUAAAGCGCGCGUAGGCGGUUUUUUAAGUCUGAUGUGAAAGCCCACGGCUCAACCGUGGAGAGUCAUUGGAAACUGGAAAACUUGAGUGCAGAAGAGGAAAGUGGAAUUCCAUGUGUAGCGGUGAAAUGCGCAGAGAUAUGGAGGAACACCAGUGGCGAAGGCGACUUUCUGGUCUGUAACUGACGCUGAUGUGCGAAAGCGUGGGGAUCAAACAGG
rnacentral:rRNA from 1 species